rnacentral:rRNA from 1 species
GUGGGGAAUCUUCCGCAAUGGACGAAAGUCUGACGGAGCAACGCCGCGUGAGUGAAGAAGGUUUUCGGAUCGUAAAGCUCUUUCGUUAGGGACGAACGUGCUCUUUGUGAAUAAUGAGGAGUAAUGACGGUACCUAAAUAAGAAGCCACGGCUAACUACGUGCCAGCAGCCGCGGUAAUACGUAGGUGGCAAGCGUUGUCCGGAAUUAUUGGGCGUAAAGCGCGCGCAGGCGGGAUAUCAAGUCUGUCUUAAAAGUGCGAGGCUCAACCUCGUGAGGUGACAGAAACUGGUAUUCUUGAGUGUCGAAGAGGAAAGUGGAAUUCCAAGUGUAGCGGUGAAAUGCGUAGAGAUUUGGAAGAACACCAGUGGCGAAGGCGACUUUCUGGACGAUGUCUGACGCUGAGGCGCGAAAGCUAGGGGAGCAAACGGGAUUAGAUACCCCUGUAGUCC